AUUGAACGCUGGCGGCAGGCCUAACACAUGCAAGUCGAGCGGAGCGGCGGAAGGGUGAGUAAUGCCUAGGGAUCUGCCUGGGAGUGGGGGAUAAAGUCCGGAAAGGGGCGCCAUGACCGCAGACUUUCAAGUGACCCUCGGUCGGCGUAGCUAGUUGGUGGGGUAACGGCCUACCAAGGCGACGAUCCGACACUGGCCUGAGAGGAUGAUCCGCCACACUGGAACUGAGACACGGUCCAGACUCCUACGGGAGGCAGCAGUGGGGAAUAUUGGGCAAUGGGCGAAAGCCUGAUCCAGCCACGCCGCGUGUGUGAAGAAGGUCUUCGGAUUGUAAAGCACUGUAAGGUGGGAGGCGUUACCCACAUAAUAAGCACCGGCUAACUACGUGCCAGCAGCCGCGGUAAUAC
rnacentral:rRNA from 1 species